rnacentral:rRNA from 1 species
UACGAAGGGGGCUAGCGUUGCUCGGAAUCACUAGGCGUAAAGCGCACGUAGGCGGCUUUUUAAGUCAGGGGUGAAAUCCUGGAGCUCAACUCCAGAACUGCCUUUGAUACUGAGAAGCUUGAGUCCGGGAGAGGUGAGUGGAACUGCGAGUGUAGAGGUGAAAUUCGUAGAUAUUCGCAAGAACACCAGUGGCGAAGGCGGCUCACUGGCCCGGUACUGACGCUGAGGUGCGAAAGCGUGGGGAGCAAACAGG